CACGGAGUUAGCCGAUCCUUAUUCUCACAGUACCGUCAAGACAUUACACGUAAUGUUGUUUCUUCCUGUGCAAAAGCAGUUUACAAUCCAUAGGACCGUCAUCCUGCACGCGGCAUGGCUGGAUCAGGCUUGCGCCCAUUGUCCAAUAUUCCUCACUGCUGCCUCCCGUAGGAGUCUGGUCCGUGUCUCAGUACCAGUGUGGGGGAUCUCCCUCUCAGGACCCCCUACCCAUCGUAGCCUUGGUAAGCCGUUACCUUACCAACAAGCUAAUGGGACGCAUGCUCAUCUUUCACCGUUGUGACUUUAAUUAUAAAAUGAUGCCAUUCUAUAAUACUAUGAGGUAUUAAUCCAAAUUUCUCUGGCUAUCCCUCUGUGAAAGGUAGAUUGCAUACGCGUUACGCACCCGUGCGCCGGUCCCUAGUUCCGAAGAACUAUACCCCUCGACUUGCAUGUGUUAAGCCUGCCGCUAGCGUUCAUCCUGAGCCAGGAUA
rnacentral:rRNA from 1 species